AGCGAACGCUGGCGGCAGGCCUAACACAUGCAAGUCGAACGAACCCUUCGGGGUUAGUGGCGGACGGGUGAGUAACACGUGGGAACGUGCCUUUAGGUUCGGAAUAACUCAGGGAAACUUGUGCUAAUACCGAAUGUGCCCUUCGGGGGAAAGAUUUAUCGCCUUUAGAGCGGCCCGCGUCUGAUUAGCUAGUUGGUGAGGUAAUGGCUCACCAAGGCUACGAUCAGUCGCUGGUCCGAGAGGAUGACCAGCCACAUUGGGACUGAGACACGGCCCAAACUCCUACGGGAGGCAGCAGUGGGGAAUCUUGCGCAAUGGGCGAAAGCCUGACGCAGCCACGCCGCGUGGAUGAUGAAGGUCUUAGGAUUGUAAAAUCCUUUCACCGGUGAAGAUAAUGACUGUAGCCGGAGAAGAAGCCCCGGCUAACUUCGUGCCAGCCGCCGCAGUAAAAC
rnacentral:rRNA from 1 species